UUGCAUGUGGAAAUGUCUGCUCCUCAUUCCUUUGGAAGCAGGAAUACAUCCAUAACACGCUACAUUAAAAAAGGAGUUCUCAGGGCUCCAGCAUAACAUGCUACAUUAAAAAAGGAGUUCUCAGGGCUGCCAGCCUUACAGUAGAAGUUGAGUAGUAGUGUAUUUCUCCUACAUUU
ensembl:snoRNA